UGGGGAAUAUUGCACAAUGGGCGAAAGCCUGAUGCAGCAACGCCGCGUGAGUGAUGAAGGUCUUCGGAUUGUAAAGCUCUGUCUUUUGGGACGAUAAUGACGGUACCAAAGGAGGAAGCCACGGCUAACUACGUGCCAGCAGCCGCGGUAAUACGUAGGUGGCGAGCGUUGUCCGGAUUUACUGGGCGUAAAGGGUGCGUAGGCGGAUGUUUAAGUGAGAUGUGAAAUACCCGGGCUUAACUUGGGUGCUGCAUUUCAAACUGGAUAUCUAGAGUGCGGGAGAGGAGAAUGGAAUUCCUAGUGUAGCGGUGAAAUGCGUAGAGAUUAGGAAGAACACCAGUGGCGAAGGCGAUUCUCUGGACUGUAACUGACGCUGAGGCACGAAAGCGUGGGUAGCAAACAGGAUUAGAUACCCUGGUAGUCCACGCCGUAAACGAUGAGUACUAGGUGUAGGAGGUAUCGACCCCUUCUGUGCCGCAGUAAACACAUUAA
rnacentral:rRNA from 1 species